rnacentral:siRNA from 1 species
CUCAUUUGUGGCCUUAGAGAGC